rnacentral:rRNA from 1 species
AGUGAACGCUGGCGGUAGGCCUAACACAUGCAAGUCGAACGGCAGCACAGUAAGAGCUUGCUCUUACGGGUGGCGAGUGGCGUACGGGUGAGGAAUACAUCGUAAUCUACUUUUUCGUGGGGGAUAACGUAGGGAAACUUACGCCAAUACCGCAUACGACCUACGGGUGAAAGCAGGGGAUCUUCGGACCUUGCGCGAUUGAAUGAGCCGAUGUCGGAUUAGCUAGUUGGCGGGGUAAAGGCCCACCAAGGCGACGAUCCGUAGCUGGUCUGAGAGGGAGAUGGGCACCGCUGGAGGUGAGCCACGGCCAGGGGUCUGAAGGACGGCACAGGUGGGAAAUGUUGGCAACUGGGCGAAACCAUGACCAAGCAAUGUCAGCCGGAUGAAGAAGCCCUCCGGGUGGUAAGGCGCUUUUGUGGGGAAAGACAGGCUGCGGGUAAAUCCCCGCGGGUUCGAAGGUAACCCAAAAAGAAGCCCCCGCUAACUUUGUG